GGUGAAUUUUUGUGCAGCCAUUUUAAUAUUAAAGAUGGAAGGAAAUACACAAGACUUUUGGCAUAGUAUGCUUUAUUAUUUCAAGAAAUAUAAAAACUCAACUGAAACACAAAGAAAGAUUUGUGCUGUGUAUGGAGAAAGUGCUGUGACUGAUUGAACAUGUCAAAAGUGGUUUGCCCACUUUCAUGCUGGAGAUUUCUGUCUGGACGAUGCUCCACAGUUGGGUAUACCAGUUGAAGUUGAUAGCAAUCAAAUUGAGAUGUUAAUUGAGAACAACCGACAUUGUACUACAUGGGAGAUGGCCAACAUAUGCAAAAUAUCCAAAUCAAUAAAGUUAUUGGUGAAAAUAAAAAAUGGGUCUUUUAUUUUACA